CAGCUCCAAAUGAUCUUGGGAGAUGCUACAUAGGAGCUGGAAGGUUAACUGAUCGGAAGAUUCCAUGAUGCCGGUCCAUUGAGGUCAUCAUUCAUGAUGGGAAAAGUCCACACCAUUGACGUGUAGGAGGAACCAGGAGCCCUGGUGACUGGUGGCUCAGGGAAAGGAGAUUGAGAUACUGAUGGUGACACUGCUCACGUCAAGUUCCUGAUCUGGGCAUUCAUCGGGUGUAACAGGUGGUUGUGAACCAGAUAGGAGUGAGCUCCUGGGACUUUUGGAGAUGCCAUCAAGCUUGCUGCCCAACCCAUCUCAAGUACAACCAUGGGG